AAAGAAAUCAUUGUAAUUCCUAUAUAAAGAUUUUCCAUUAUUUAGAAACAUGCUUUUUUUUUUUUUUUUUAAAGAAAAGUCUUAAUGGAACUAGACCAGUGGAUAAUCAUUUCUAAUUGAAGAGAGUAGAAACUAAGUAUAUAGUUGUUCAGAAAAGGAGAGAACAAUCCAAGUUCCUGAAAGAAUCUUAAUUUUCCAUUAAUUUGAUUCCAGCAAGAAGAAACAAAUUGGAAAAACAGAAGACACAGUGUUUGCCCAAUCAAAAGGGAGCUCUCUAGGAUGAAGACAAACACUUGGAAUGAAAGAACAAUGAGAAAACUUUGUUCCUGGGCUUAGAAACUGCCAUAAAAGAAGUACAGUCACUUCUCACCUACCACCUGGAAUCACUUUAUUAGUGCCUAAGAAUUUGGAAAAAUCUGAACUUGUGUUGCACUGGUAAUCUCUAAGAUAUGCUUUACUAUUUACCUAAAUACUUGAUUCUUUUUUCUUGGAUAUUGUUC
rnacentral:lncRNA from 1 species